CCUACGGGGGGCUGCAGGGAGGAAUAUUGGACAAUGGGGGAAACCCCGAUCCAGCAACGCCGCGUGAGGGAUGAAGGCCUUCGGGUCGUAAACCUCUUUUAAGGGAGACGAGAAAGGACGGUAUCCCUGGAAUAAGUCACGGCUAACUACGUGCCAGCAGCCGCGGUAAUACGUAGGUGACGAGCGUUAUCCGGAUUUACUGGGCGUAAAGCGCUUGUAGGUGGCUUUGUAAGUUGGGCGUGAAAACUCUGGGCUUAACCCAGAGACGCCGUCCA
rnacentral:rRNA from 1 species